rnacentral:rRNA from 1 species
AGGACGAACGCUGGCGGCGUGCUUAACACAUGCAAGUCGAGCGGUAAGGCCUUUCGGGGUACACGAGCGGCGAACGGGUGAGUAACACGUGGGUGAUCUGCCCUGCACUUCGGGAUAAGCCUGGGAAACUGGGUCUAAUACCGGAUAUGACUUCAGGUUGCAUGACUUGGGGUGGAAAGAUUUAUCGGUGCAGGAUGGGCCCGCGGCCUAUCAGCUUGGUUGGUGGGGUAAUGGCCUACCAAGGCGACGACGGGUAGCCGACCUGAGAGGGUGACCGGCCACACUGGGACUGAGACACGGCCCAGACUCCUACGGGAGGCAGCAGUGGGAAUAUUGCACAAUGGGCGAAAGCCUGAUGCAGCGACGCCGCGUGAGGAUGACGGCCUUCGGGUUGUAAACCUCUUUCAGCGAGGACGAAGCGACAAGUGACGGUACCUGACAGAAGAGACACCGGCUAACUACGUCGCCAGCAGACCGC